rnacentral:rRNA from 1 species
GAAACAUCUUCGGGUUGUGAGGUUAAGCGACUAAGCGUACACGGUGGAUGCCCUGGCAGUCAGAGGCGAUGAAGGACGUGCUAAUCUGCGAUAAGCGUCGGUAAGGUGAUAUGAACCGUUAUAACCGGCGAUUUCCGAAUGGGGAAACCCAGUGUGAUUCGUCACACUAUCAUUAACUGAAUCCAUAGGUUAAUGAGGCGAACCGGGGGAACUGAAACAUCUAAGUACCCCGAGGAAAAGAAAUCAACCGAGAUUCCCCCAGUAGCGGCGAGCGAACGGGGAGCAGCCCAGAGCCUGAAUCAGUGUGUGUGUUAGUGGAAGCGUCUGGAAAGGCGCGCGAUACAGGGUGACAGCCCCGUACACAAAAAUGCACAUACUGUGAGCUCGAUGAGUAGGGCGGGACACGUGGUAUCCUGUCUGAAUAUGGGGGGACCAUCCUCCAAGGCUAAAUACUCCUGACUGACCGAUAGUGAACCAGUACCGUGAGGGAAAGGCGAAAAGAACCCCGGCGAGGGGAGUGAAAAAGAACCUGAAACCGUGUACGUACAAGCAGUGGGAGCACAGAGCAAUCUGUGUGACUGCGUACCUUUUGUAUAAUGGGUCAGCGACUUAUAUUCUGUAGCAAGGUUAACCGAAUAGGGGAGCCGAAGGGAAACCGAGUCUUAACUGGGCGUUAAGUUGCAGGGUAUAGACCCGAAACCCGGUGAUCUAGCCAUGGGCAGGUUGAAGGUUGGGUAACACUAACUGGAGGACCGAACCGACUAAUGUUGAAAAAUUAGCGGAUGACUUGUGGCUGGGGGUGAAAGGCCAAUCAAACCGGGAGAUAGCUGGUUCUCCCCGAAAGCUAUUUAGGUAGCGCCUCGUGAAUUCAUCUCCGGGGGUAGAGCACUGUUUCGGCAAGGGGGUCAUCCCGACUUACCAACCCGAUGCAAACUGCGAAUACCGGAGAAUGUUAUCACGGGAGACACACGGCGGGUGCUAACGUCCGUCGUGAAGAGGGAAACAACCCAGACCGCCAGCUAAGGUCCCAAAGUCAUGGUUAAGUGGGAAACGAUGUGGGAAGGCCCAGACAGCCAGGAUGUUGGCUUAGAAGCAGCCAUCAUUUAAAGAAAGCGUAAUAGCUCACUGGUCGAGUCGGCCUGCGCGGAAGAUGUAACGGGGCUAAACCAUGCACCGAAGCUGCGGCAGCGACGCUUAUGCGUUGUUGGGUAGGGGAGCGUUCUGUAAGCCUGCGAAGGUGUGCUGUGAGGCAUGCUGGAGGUAUCAGAAGUGCGAAUGCUGACAUAAGUAACGAUAAAGCGGGUGAAAAGCCCGCUCGCCGGAAGACCAAGGGUUCCUGUCCAACGUUAAUCGGGGCAGGGUGAGUCGACCCCUAAGGCGAGGCCGAAAGGCGUAGUCGAUGGGAAACAGGUUAAUAUUCCUGUACUUGGUGUUACUGCGAAGGGGGGACGGAGAAGGCUAUGUUGGCCGGGCGACGGUUGUCCCGGUUUAAGCGUGUAGGCUGGUUUUCCAGGCAAAUCCGGAAAAUCAAGGCUGAGGCGUGAUGACGAGGCACUACGGUGCUGAAGCAACAAAUGCCCUGCUUCCAGGAAAAGCCUCUAAGCAUCAGGUAACAUCAAAUCGUACCCCAAACCGACACAGGUGGUCAGGUAGAGAAUACCAAGGCGCUUGAGAGAACUCGGGUGAAGGAACUAGGCAAAAUGGUGCCGUAACUUCGGGAGAAGGCACGCUGAUAUGUAGGUGAAGUCCCUCGCGGAUGGAGCUGAAAUCAGUCGAAGAUACCAGCUGGCUGCAACUGUUUAUUAAAAACACAGCACUGUGCAAACACGAAAGUGGACGUAUACGGUGUGACGCCUGCCCGGUGCCGGAAGGUUAAUUGAUGGGGUUAGCGCAAGCGAAGCUCUUGAUCGAAGCCCCGGUAAACGGCGGCCGUAACUAUAACGGUCCUAAGGUAGCGAAAUUCCUUGUCGGGUAAGUUCCGACCUGCACGAAUGGCGUAAUGAUGGCCAGGCUGUCUCCACCCGAGACUCAGUGAAAUUGAACUCGCUGUGAAGAUGCAGUGUACCCGCGGCAAGACGGAAAGACCCCGUGAACCUUUACUAUAGCUUGACACUGAACAUUGAGCCUUGAUGUGUAGGAUAGGUGGGAGGCUUUGAAGUGUGGACGCCAGUCUGCAUGGAGCCGACCUUGAAAUACCACCCUUUAAUGUUUGAUGUUCUAACGUUGACCCGUAAUCCGGGUUGCGGACAGUGUCUGGUGGGUAGUUUGACUGGGGCGGUCUCCUCCUAAAGAGUAACGGAGGAGCACGAAGGUUGGCUAAUCCUGGUCGGACAUCAGGAGGUUAGUGCAAUGGCAUAAGCCAGCUUGACUGCGAGCGUGACGGCGCGAGCAGGUGCGAAAGCAGGUCAUAGUGAUCCGGUGGUUCUGAAUGGAAGGGCCAUCGCUCAACGGAUAAAAGGUACUCCGGGGAUAACAGGCUGAUACCGCCCAAGAGUUCAUAUCGACGGCGGUGUUUGGCACCUCGAUGUCGGCUCAUCACAUCCUGGGGCUGAAGUAGGUCCCAAGGGUAUGGCUGUUCGCCAUUUAAAGUGGUACGCGAGCUGGGUUUAGAACGUCGUGAGACAGUUCGGUCCCUAUCUGCCGUGGGCGCUGGAGAAUUGAGGGGGGCUGCUCCUAGUACGAGAGGACCGGAGUGGACGCAUCACUGGUGUUCGGGUUGUCAUGCCAAUGGCACUGCCCGGUAGCUAAAUGCGGAAGAGAUAAGUGCUGAAAGCAUCUAAGCACGAAACUUGCCCCGAGAUGAGUUCUCCCUGACUCCUUGAGAGUCCUGAAGGAACGUUGAAGACGACGACGUUGAUAGGCCGGGUGUGUAAGCGCAGCGAUGCGUUGAGCUAACCGGUACUAAUGAACCGUGAGGCUUAACCUU